rnacentral:rRNA from 1 species
AAAUGACUCUCGGCAACGGAUAUCUCGGCUCUCGCAUCGAUGAAGAACGUAGCGAAAUGCGAUACUUGGUGUGAAUUGCAGAAUCCCGUGAACCAUCGAGUCUUUGAACGCAAGUUGCGCCCGAAGCCGUUAGGCUGAGGGCACGUCUGCCUGGGCGUCA